GGACCAACAGCCUCCAAAACAAUACAGAGAAACCCUGUUUCAUAAAUACCAAAUAAAUAAAUAAAUAAAAAUAAAGUUUUUUCAGCAAUCCCUACGCUGUUCCUGUGUUGACAGGAUAUAUUAUGCCUUCAGCCCCUUUGCUGCACAUCACUACAUUGUAGUAACCCAUGACUCCUACGGCUUGGCAGAGAGAUGUGGCAAAAGAGCUAACCAGGAAGGAAGGGGGCAGGAAGUGGUCUAGCAACUUGGAUGGAACAUGUCUUAGGUAGGGUUUCUAUUGUUGUGAUGAAACACCAUGAUCAAAGGCAACUUUGGGAGAAAUGGUCCAUUCACACUUUUACACCAUAGUCCAUCACCGAAGGAAGUCAUGACAGAAACUCAAGCAUGGCAGGAUCCUGGAGGUAGGAACUGAUGCAGAGGCCAUGGAGGGAGUGCUGCUUACUGGCUUGCUCCCAUAGCUUGUCAGCCUGCUUUCCUACAGAUACCAGCACCACCUGCCAGGAGACCUGGUUCCUCUCACGCACAUCAGUCACUAAGAAGGCAUGUAUACAGGCCAGCCCGAGACUCGCUCUUCCAGACGACUCAAGCCUGUGUCAAGCUGACAUAAGAACCAGUCAGCACAGGGUGAAUGAGAGACAAGCGAACUAACCUCUAUUUGAAUAGAUGACAUGACAUUUCUGUUCUCAGACAAAAGAAAGCCAGGAUGGAGCUCACUGGCCUAGCAUUUUAGCACCAGGUUCCAUGAGUUACCCUAUCUUGAAAUAAAAAAAGAAGAUGGACAGUGAUUGAGGAUGACUUCUGAUGUCAACUCCUUCCUACACUCACACACACACACACAAUCUUCACAUAUGGGCCUAUAGGUACAUGUAAACAUACAAAUACACACUAAAUUAAACUAAUAGCUGACUAAGAUGGUCUACAACGAUGAAGCAAGUACCCAGAAGGGCCUGGGAGGGACCUGGAAAUGAAGUUACUGCUGAUGUUCUGGCUGAGGCUGAGGGUUAGAUCUUGUUUCUGCAUCUGUGAAAUGAAAGGCCACUUCAGAUCACCAACAGGACCUCCCCCCACCAACCACAUUAAACUGUUUAUUAUCUGAAGUUUGUACAGCCAGUGUGUGCCUCCCAGGAAGAGGGCUGGAGAGGGCACAGAAGUUCAAGGCCAGAAGGUAACCACCCUGCAAUUGAGCUGCUGUGUGAGAGGAAAGGGCCCUGCAGAUCACCGAGGAGUAAAUAGAGGGUCCGGGGACUCAAUUAUUCAAAUGAGGUAAGAGUUGGCUUGGGAUUUGGCAAGUGCAAAGAGGGAAGAAUUUGGACUUCUGCUCUAGUGAAUUCAAAAUAUCCUUGUGAAAACACAGAGGACUUGACCCAGGCAAAGAGAUGUGCUAUUCGGACUAUGGUACUAGGGAGAAGAAUCACACCCCAGGCUCUUUGCAGACAAGGACUUUAUUCGAGGAACUCCUGACAGGAGGCAAGACGACCACCCCAUGGCCCGAUAGCCACAGUUGACUCUAGCUCCCCACUUGUUAUCUACAGCUGUGUCGUAGGGCCUGCUGGAGGUCUGUGACUGGGUUUCCUUCAGGCCACCCUGUGGAAAUGUAGUACGAUCAUAUAUGUUGUAUUUUCUAAACGCACAGUAGGGCUCGGAAGGGUGAAAAGUACUUCAAAGGGAGUGCUCAUGGUCCCUCGGGGCCUUUGUAUAGAUAUCAAGGGUCCAGUUUUUGUAUUAUACAGCUGAACCAAGUGAAAAUAUGAUUAAGCCUGAGCAUGCUGCUGCCUGAGGCUGGGAAAACAAGGCCUGUCUAUGAAUGUUACGAACUGGAGAGAAGUAAUAGAUUUAUUUCUCAUCCCAGAAUCAGAAAUCCUUGGGUUAAAUGGUGCGUGAAUGAGUAUGCUAGUGUGUGCACAGGAACCAGGAGUGCAGUGCUCCACCCUUAAGUACCACACUCCUCCUGCGGUGUAGUAAUGACCUGUGUGUGGGAAUUUUUGCAGAAAUUAAGCCAGGCAGAAAUGCCAGCAGUGGUUUUUCUCUAUAAUGAACAUAUCGAACCAGAAAAGCAUUUAACUGAAACCAAGAUGACAUUUACUUAAGACAGGUUUUAUAAUGGACAGGAAGCCAAGUACUGUGACUGAACAGUAUUUGGGAAGAGUUCACAUUUAGAGUUAAUAUUUCUGGAAACCCUCACACUGUGGACGUAAGUUUGUUGGUCUUCUCUAACUGGGUUUUGGUGCCAAGAGCAAACCAGGUACUCUCUGGGAAUCUUGAAAACAGACAGUGAACUGCUAAGCACUGUGUGGAUCCCCUCUGCCCUGAUCACAAGUCUUGUGCCCAAUCCCUGGAAGAGACAAACAAGAAUCAGCAUGCAUAUAUAGGCCUAGAGCCCAACCUUUCUAGGAAGAAGGGAUGAAGGCAUUGGAGUGUGACACUUAUCUGCAGCUUUUCGCACAGCAAGUCUGUGGCUGCCUGAUCAGUCAUGCUGUCCUGGGAGCACACGGCUAGCAGGAGUCCAAACUGGUGGUGGACAGGCCAUUCUCUGCAGAGCCACAGCCCAGGAGCUCACCAUCUGCACCCAGGAUUCUGUUUUGAACCAUUUAGAGAUUCCACACAGCUUUCCACUGCCUCCAGGAAGAUGAAUUUGCACUUGAAAUUCAUUCCUUCUUGCUGAUUAUUUACCGCUAUUUCAAGGAGUGUCAACAAAUUUGCCCAACAUACACAGACACUUAAGGCCUGCCUCUCUAGCCUGAAAUUCACACAGUUCAUGCUCAGGGCAAGAGGGAACUGGAGUCCAGCUGGACACAGCAUGAGGAGAGCCAACCUCACAAGGCCCAGUCUGGUUUGCAAAAUCCAUGGUUUCCUAGGACAGCCAUAAGCAUAGUGAUGGGGUCUAGUCUCCAGUUCACAGGGGGGGAAACACGAGACAACAGAAAGCCCUGGAAAUGCUGUGGGUCAUUUACUGAACCCCAAAUGAGAAACUUCAAUAGCAUACCUGCCCAUAACUCCUCACUCAGACUGGGGUUCAGCUUGAUUUAGUCUACUUUGGUGUUUGUGAGGCAUAGUCUCACUAUGUAGCUCAGUCUCCUGAGCAUUAGGAUUGCAGGCAGGUCUCACCACUCACAGCUGAGGCAGAGAUGGAUGGAAUGGGGCCUCCGUCAGCUAACCCUGUAGGAGGAGCUUGUUGUUUGCUGAUGCUUGAAUAAGAAUCAGAGAGACUUUCUCCUAUUGCUCUCUAUGGACUUGUGGCAUGGCACAUCCUGUCAUAUUGUCUUAGGGUUUCUACCGAUGUGUAAAGACACCAUGACCAAGGCAACUUUUAUUGAGGAAAACAAUUGGGGUGGCUUACAGUUUCAGAGGUUCAGUCCAUUAUCAUCAUGGCGGGAAGCAUGGUGGUGUGCAGACAGACAUGGUGCUGGAGAAGGAGCUGAGAGUUCUACAUCUUGCAGCUAACAGGGAGUUGACUGACACACUGGGUGGUAUUCUGAGCAUAGGAAACCCCAAAGCCCGCCCUUCACACUGACACACUUCCUCCAAGCAAGGCCACCUCCUCUCCAACGAAGCCAUAUCUAAUAGUCCACUCCCUAUGAGAUGAAUGGGGACAAUUGCAUUCAAACCCCACACUCAAAGCUUAGUGUCUUUCCUGUCUGAACCUCAGCCUGUGUGCCAGCUCUCACCCCCAGUUGGAGUAUCAUUCCUAGGCACAAGCACUAUCAGGAAACUGUUGGUAGCGGCUUUUGGUCCUGAGGGAUUCACACCUCACGUAGUCUCUCUUUCGUGGAGUCUAACAAGAGUCCCUUUCCCUUCCCUGAUGAAUAUUAACAUCAUGGAAUCGAUUCGCCGUCACCUCAACGACAGGAUCAUAGAAAGAGUGUGGAGGCGUCUGCCUUGGUGAAUGGCUCUUUCUGGAUCUUCGUCUUGUUCUCUCUCCCUCUUGCUCUUUGACCUCCCCCUUUGUAAGCUUGCGAGGGUAAGGGUUGCUUUCUCUGAUCAACACCCAGUGAGGCCCUGAGACCUGCAGAUGGCAGCAACCGAGAGCUGGACUUUGAGGUGAUGACUGUGGUGUUUGCUGAGAAGCCCUCUUUAAAUGCUGUCCACUGAAAGUCAUUUCCAACGGGUGUCUACAUCGUAGGACGACUUGUCAAAUAGCUGCGACUUAUAGAUACUCACCCAGGAGAGCUUAUGCAAUAGCUGUUCUACUUCAGUGUAGGAAUGUGUCAUGCGCUGUGGUGUUCAAAUAUCCACAAUGACUCCCUCAAGCCUUAGAUCCCCAUUCCCUUUCCUUUCCCAUGUACCCUUCCUCAGUCUAUCUCAAAUUAAUGCCUCUAUUUCUUUACUUGUGUGUGUGGGGGGGUGUUGUUCCUAAGUAUAUAACAUAACCUGUUCCGCCUUAUAGUUACUUUCUAUAUAUAUGAUUUAGGGCUGACCCCUUGGUGUUGGAUAUCCAGUAAGUGUGUUCUUCCCUGGGGAAGACUAAUUGUCCCACUCUCAGCAUUCCCUAAUUGUCCUUAGGUUCUUUGUUUAGGGAUGAAGACCUACAAUGUGUAUGCAUUAAGGACCUAUCUUACUCCCAGACCGUUGUAUAGUAAGGAUGUCAAGAUGAACAAAUAUGGUUUCUGUUGGGAGUUCCAUGGGCAGAUCUUUCUGUGACCAAGCCCUGCAAAGCUGCUGUUCAUGUACAGGGGAGAUGGUAGGACACACUGACUGAUUGCCAGUCAUUAAAGUCUCCAACUGAUUUUGAAAAUGUAAUUCCUCGUUAGUAAAACGUCGAAAAACUAGAAAACUAUUUUUCCACUGGAGAUGUUUCAUCAUUAAAACCUAUUGAUUUAGAUAUGCUCUUAAUUCUGUUACUUUUCUCACCUCUGUGACAAGAUAUAUGCCACAAUUAAUUAACAAAGGAGGAAUUUAUCUGGCACAUAGUUUAGGAGGGGAAGACAGUCAUUAAGGCAGGGAAGUCAUGAUGGGGAGCAGCUCCUUGCCAGGAGGUAGGUAAGUAGGUAGGGGUGUGUGCGUGUGUGUGCGUGUGUGUGUGUGUGUGUGUGUGUGUGUGUGUGUGUGUGUGAUAGCUUGUGUACAUCUCAGCAAACCAGAAAGUAGACAGCAUUCAGUUGGAACUGUGACUAGGAGAUAGCCAACUCCAUGAAGCGCCCCCCUCUUCAGGGACCAACCCACCAACUUCCUGAAGAGAAACCCUACUUUUUAGAUGCCUCUUAUCCUCCCCAUACAGCACCACAAGCUAGAGAUCAAGUGUUCAAACAGACGAAUGUAUGGAAGAGGGUUCACAUUCAAACCAUAGCACCGACUUUCACUACUACUCAGCUUUCGGUUUAUUGUGAGUGAAAAGUCCAAGUUCCUGAGGGCAUUCUGUAGUGAAAAAGGCAUUGUGGUUUGUGCAGAUAUGAAGAUUUCCUAAGUCCCAAUGCAAAUGGAUCUGAAAAGAUCAACCAACUGGUUUGGGAGUGAUGCAGACAAUCGUUUACCUCAUAAUGGUUAGAAUUUCCCACUGAUGCUUGCUGUUUCACUUGUUUUAUGUUUGCUUUCCACAUUCAUUCACUCCUGUAGCAAUCAAUCCCCGUGUCUCCAUCCACAUAGUGGUUCUGCCUGCAGUCACUGCUGUGGAGCAGUAUCUGUCCUCAGGACAAGCAGGAGGCAGAUGGUGGCUCUCUGCUUCUGAGGGAGGGAGGAUGUUGACUAAUGCCCACGAGGGGAAGGAAGGCUAAAUCCAUCAUCUAUGUGGUGUGUUAUGCAGUAGCUUACAUCAUCCAAAGAUUGCUCCCAAAGAGUCUCUCUGUCUUGUGCAUGGAAGUACUGUUGACGUUCAAGCACAAUUGUGUAAAAACCUCAAGGGUGUGGUGGAUCCCAAGUAGAGCAGCAGAGUGAUACCUUGUCAGUGUCUGGGUGGCUUUAUCCAGCCUCUGUGGCAGCAGGACAGGGUUGUUCAUGGGAACAGGCAUCACAUGGUUGAAACUUUGCAUGGUGUGCCUUGUGGACAACCCUAUAUGGAGACCUUGAGUCUCUUUCCGGAAAGCUGCACUAGGAUUUGUUUUUCCCUCUGUGCUAUCAGUCAGUCUGAGAAGGUUCCAGAGAACCACAGGUUAAAACAUGUUUCAGUGUCCAACAUCUGAGAGGUGUUUCCCUAUAGGACCUUCAGGUUGCAAACUGCAUCUUUGUCAUAGGAAUUGCGCCAGCAGUGAAAACAGAAAAGCAACAGAAACAGCCAUGAAUCCUGUCACUAGGAUUGUGCCCCCAUUGGUUAGCUUGAAAGCAGAUAGAGAGGAAAACAACACUGAGAGUGAAUGAGAUAAUGCAGGGAAGGGAAAGCAGCCUGAGGGAGUGCUGGGCCAGCUUCCUGAUGCUGCCACUGAGUGUGGGGAUGGCCUGCUCAUUCUGAAGUCUGUCCAGGACAGCACUUCCUGCCUCCUCCAGAUUCUGGAAGCUCCAGGCAUCUCUUGCCAUGGGGACAAUACCACCCUAAUCUCUGCUCUUGUCAUCUCAUGACAUCAUCCCUUGGAUAAAUGAGGAUAAAUGAUGUCCUUACAGAUUUUUCUCAUUCUUUAGAAAAUAAAUUCUGUAUUUAUCAAAAUAAUACUGUGAAAACAUCACCUAUAAAUCGCUAUUGGAAACCUUCAUCAAUGCACUCACAACUUUGAAGAUAGAAAGGAAAAUUUAACUCUUGUCACAGCUAGAAGUACCUUCUUAAAAAAUGGCUUGUCAUAUAUAUCUGUUUUAAUAUCAACAAACAAGUUUAAAGAAAAGUAAUGAUCAGCAGAUGUAUUUUUAACAGGUAAUGUUUGUAAUGUACCAGGAGUGCUUGAACAAAAGUAUUUCCAAAGCAGAGAAACUUCAUAAAGAAAUUAGACAAAUGUAGAGAAAUAGCUGCAACCCUUCUUCUAACUAAAAUAAAAUGUUCAAGUAGCAUCUUUUUGACAUUGUAAACAUUAACCGCCAUUGCCUAGAUGGGAAGGUUAGUUUUUGGAGGGCAGAAAAAGGAAAGGAAUACUCAGAAUGUGGGGGUGAUGGGGUGGGGGGAACUUGGAAGAUCUAAAGGAGACCUGGACAGUGUGGUGUCAGAGGCCAAGGAUAGAUUAUUAUCGAGAGGAAGGUCUUUUGUUGGUGUUGGGUGUGUGUAGGGGUGUCAUCUCACUUCAUGAGACAGAAAGUUUGGCAAGGUCAAAUGCUGCAAAGAAAUUAAACGAUCAUUGCUAUAUUUGUCAGAGUGUCCUAAUAGAUAAUUGAUAAAUGUCAGUUUAGAUAGAUGAUAGAGCAGAUGACUGAUAAAUUAUAGACAGCAAACACGGCAGACUAAUUGACUGAUGGAUAGAUACAGUGAUGAAAGAAGAAGGAAGAAAGGAAAGGGGGGAUAAAGGGAGAACCGAAAGGUCGGUACCCAUCUGAGUAGGACAGGUUUCAUAUCAGGGAAGCAGUAUGUCAAGGCCCAUGGCAAUGGGCCUAGAAGUUAAUGGAGUUGAGACAAUAAAGAGUAGACAUUUAGAGAAGCUCAGCUGUGACUGGGAGGGGAGGCAUAUGGUAAGGACCAGAGGUGAAAGGGUGCCACAGCAGGGUGCACUGUCUGUUGUUUGUUCCAGGGAGUUAGAGCGGCUUCCACGCAAACCAAAGCAGAUGCUGAAUAUAAUGUAUUUCCUGGGGUUUGUGAGGGAGAUGGUGCUGCCCAAGAAGAAUGGAUUCUAAGUGGAAUAGGAAGGAAGGAUGUUGAGAUGGCCACUAAGUCACAGGGGUGCCUGCGAAUUCACUGGGGAAUUCAUAUCAACCAAAGCUGAUGAUAAACUGUUUUGCCUAAUAAUCCUUGAAUCUCAUUGGCCUCUCUCAAUGUUCUAUUUUCCAUUUUCCCCUCCUAUCCCCUCAUCUGGUGUUCUCUCUCUCAUCUUUCUUUCCCCGUUCUCUCAAUAGUGUUAGCUCUCCUGAUCAGUGGUAGUAUUAACCAUUUGGAUGCAAUACUUUGCUUCACCCAGAAACCCAGCAUCCUCUCAGCUAGUGUACAUAAUCCCAAACUCAUAAUCCACUCAGCUGCCAGAGAGAGCAAACUCAGAUGAUUUAUCAGGAAGACAGAAGUUACACUUGAAGAUGGCAUUCUUGGCUUCUGCUGGCAAGCACGAUGGUCUGUCAUUUGUCCCCAGAGCUGCAGAGUCUGGAAUCCAGCACACAGUGUCUGUCUGAGUAAGAACAGCAUGGACACCGAUGUCGCUAGUAAAGGCUCUUUUGUUGUUUACAGGAGGGAGCUCUUUGCUCUUGAAUUGAUUUUUAUGAACACUGUAUCAACCCCAGUUAGCUCUGACUUCAACUUUGGGCCCUCGGGAAUCUCAAAGAAGACACGAAACUAUGGGGGAAGCGCCAAAGGGGGGAAAAAUCUGUGCCCUUAAGGCUCACAAUCAUUUUAGUGUAACAAAAUAUACUGAAUAAUGACAGAUGGCACGAGCCUCUUCUAAUUCCUAUUUGGAGCUCCUCACAUCUUCUCUCUAUAUGUAGGCUAUUUUUUCUUGACUUUUUCCUUUAGAGAAGGAACAAAUCUCAUCUCAAGGCACUAUCUUUAUCAUCUCUGCAUCAUCACCUAGUUGUCCAUGGUGACUUUAAUGCAGCAUUUAAAUGCCAGCAUGUCUUAAUAACACAGCUUAUACCUUCUGCUGCCUGCAGCUCCACAUAAUACAAUGUUUGCAAGGGCAAAGGAAUAUGGCUCGUAUAUAAUUUAUAUGUCCUUGUGGUGUGUUGUUAAUGUGCAAACUUAAUAAGAGUAUAAUUUUGAGGUAAUUUUCCAUAAAACUAUUAUCAGUGUUAUCUUAUAAAUUCCAGAUAAUUUAGCUCAGUAUUCUCCUAACCAAAUUACCCCACUAACAACAUAUUAUCAUUAGUAAAUAAUGGCUCAGGCUGACAUGAAUUUUUGUGAAAGUUGAGCCUUCUAGAUGCAUAGGAGAUAUUGCUGCAUGAUUUAUGGUGAAGGACAACUCUAUUCUAAUAAGUUUGCUUUCCUUGCUUUGAUUAAAAUAUGUAUACUAGAUAUAAUUUGGACAAUAUAUACCUGCACUAUUUUAAAAAGAUAAAACACUAAUUAGAUUUUGAUUCUGAGAAGCCACAAAUUGCAGGGGGAUACACGAAAAUGAAUAAGGGAUUAGUGUUAAGAUAACCCAGCAUUGUGUACUAGCUUUGCGUCUGGGAGCAGCUCCGUGGCCUUGGAAAUAUUUGAUACUUCAAAUCCCCAGUCUGAUGGUGGAUUAUGUGAAGAUAAUAGGAUUAAGCUGGCUCACAAAGUCUUCUUGGAACAUCAUCCUAGAAUCCCUGAUCUACUUAAGUACUUAAUUACAUCUUAUCCUAUGUUGCCUGUGGUUGAGGGUCUAUAUAACCUAUCUUUACAAAUGCAUUAGUAAGUCAUGAAGCUUGUGGCAUAGACCAUCCAUUCAUUCCUCUUCAAACAUUGGAAAGUUCUCUGUAAAAAGGGAUGUGCCUAUGGAAUCCCUGGGGCUCAGGCCAUGGUUCCAGCAUGAACUAUUUCUAUGUCCUUGAGAAUUAGGAGAGCUCUGAGUAUGCAGACACACCGCCUGCCCCCCCCCCACUGAAUUUGCAUUUCUUCCUCUGCAGGUGGCAACAAUAGUACCUUAUUUCAUAAAACUAUAUAGUGAAGACAGUCAUAGAGUGUAUGUCACAGUUCUGGGCUCACAGAACACCCACACAGGACAUACUGGGCAAGUUCAAACCUUAAAGGAACUCCUCACUUUGUCCUUCUACAUCUAGAUUGAUGUAGGAUGUGACACAUUUGCAUAUAGCUGAAACCAUGAGUGAUACAUCUCUCUCUCCACCAUGGGUGCAAGAGACAUACAAGCUACAUAUCUUGCCAUUGGAAUUAGAAACUAAACUCCCAUUUGGUAAGAAAAUGUGUCUAUCUAAUUUGGAAGAGGGGAAUUCAAGCCUUGAGCCUAGCGAUUGUCACCCUAAACUUACACAAAGGGCGAGGGAUGCCAUGAGCAGUAUGAAGAUUGGCAGGGCAGAGAGAGACCCGGGAGCCAGAGUAAAGAGGUACCCUGGAGUGGUUGGGAACAAGGAUGUUAAUGUUCAAGUUGUCAUUGUGAUGGUUGAGCGUUAAUUGACCUGGACCCUGUAUAUCUAGAGGAUGAUAAACAUGGGAUAAUAGGACAAAACCUGGCUGUCCUCUUUAGGGCUGGGCUGAAGCUGGCCAACUUCUUUAAACAAGGAGUGAAAUCAAGUGGUGACACACACUUUCCCAUAGCUGCUUCCAGGAUGGAGAAGUCAUGUCAUGGGACAGUGAGGCAGAAAGCCAGAAUUCUGCCUUCUAGAGAAAAUGCUUCCAUGUGACAAGAAGUCUCUCUGGGACAGGAAUGUCCUCUCUCCUUGCUUUAACUGAGACAUUCUUAAUGUAUUCUAUUAUUGUCUAGUUGCCAGCCAUGUCAGGAAGACACAGAGAAAGAGGACAGCCUUCUUUCUGACUUCUGAGCACUUUCACAUCCUGAGCCCUGAAUGUCUCCCUUUCCUUUCCUAUUCUCUGUGAUGCACAACAUAGAGUCAGGCUCCUGCAAAGGGUCAAAUAAUCCCCCAUCACAUGCUAAAUGUAGGUUUUCAAAAACAUUCUGCAGCACAGAUACCCACCAGGUGGAAGCCAAGAAGAGUGCAAAUCAGGGCAAACAAUUAGGUUCCAUCGACCAACGUUCCCUGAACUCCUCCCAAGCCAGGCUCUAUGUCCCAAUAACAACCAGACCUGACUGUGUGGUCUAUAACAUUUUCGCUGGGAUCGAAAACAACUGGUUUUGUCUACAAUUAACAUUCCCCCCCCAGGAAUCUUGCCAGAGUAAAAAUGGAGUCUCUUUGGCUGUCAUCAAAACUUAGGAAGAAGUAAAGCCAGGAAGCUAUAAAUGAAGAGAUACCCCAACUGUGUGCAUGAUAGUAAGACCUAGUCACAAAAGAUACUGCUGUGACCACAGGCUUGCAUGAACAUCACAACAUUACAUAGAGAGCACUCCUGUAAGGAAAAAUCCUUCAGCAAAUAUAUGUCUGGCCUGGGCUGGCCCUAUGCUUCCUAUUUGUUCUUAAAUUUCUGUUAUUAAUGCACGUGACCAUGGUUAUCAUUUCAAAAUAUUUCAUGUGACCCUCCACAGCUUCUCAUUGCCUCAGCCUCCUUGAAUGCCCUUAUAGUUGGCUGAGGCACAUAGGUUCUCAUAGGGAUGGUCUAGGAUUUCCAAAUAAAACAAUUCAUUUUUGGAGACUAUCUUGGAGGGUUUUGCAAGAAAAUAUUUGAGUGUCCUAAAACCUAUGUCUGAAGAGUUGCUAGCUCUUGAUUUUAAGGAUAGCUCUUAUUAUGGAAUAGUAUCUGAGUAGAAGGCUUGAGAUAUGUGUGAGUGGAAGUAAGUGAGGAGUUGGCAGAUGCCUCCUAAAAAAGCCUCAUUUGGUAAGACAAAUAGUUUUAAGAUUGGGGAGGUUGUAAUCUGUAACUGUUAUGAGCAUUCUUCCUGCCAGCCUGGUCCUUCAGCCACAUAACCCCAAAUGAACACUCAGAGACUUACACUAAUUAUAAUACUGUUGACUGGUGGCUUGGGCUUCUUAUUGGCUAGUUCUGUCUUAUUAACCCAUAACUAUUAAUGUAAGUAUUUCUACAUGGUCGUCUCUUACCAGAGAACCCCUCACUCACAUCUUCUCUUCCCAGGAAUGACAUGAUAACUCCUCUCUGCCUAUACUUCCCAGAAUCCUCCUUGUCUCCUAGUCCCACCCAUCUUCCUGCCUGAUUGGCUAAACAGUGUUUUAUUCAUCAACCAAUAAGACAAACAUAUAUACAGAAAGACAACUCCCAUCAAACAACAUUAAAGCAAAAUGGGAGAAAACAAUGUAGAAUUAGGGUAUAGUUGACUCCUGACAGUAUAUGUUGAAAGUGAGAAUGGACUUGGGGGGAGGGGAUGAAUGAUGAGGCUGACAUGUGUAUGUUGAAAAUGAGAAUAGACUGGGGGAUAAGGGAUGGAUGAAGAGGCUGACAUGUGCCCAAAGCAGCUGGAAAAUUGGGUCCUGAAGUUGGAAUAAAUGGGUGAAGGUUGCCUUCCUAUGAGGAUCUGUGAGUUCUCAAUCAGGAAUCUUUUCUGGGGCAGAGAGUGGACCCAAGUAUUCAAGAAGUAGACGGCGAGGGUAAACAUUACCAAACUGGGGUAAACUGAAAUCCCAGAACCCCACUAAAGACCAAAACCAGAACCUCACAGCUCUUCCCAGCAAGAAAGGGGCAUCUUGUGAAAGGGAUACAAGACUAAAAGUUCUCCAAAAGUUUGCAAAAUCCCUUAAUUUUCUCCCCAUGUUCCAUCUGGAGUGUGAGGGGAGUAAUGUCACAGGAAUGCUGAGCAGUCACACAAAUGCAUCGAUCUGGAGAUCCAUCACACAAAGUCAUGCAACCUGGCAGUGCAGUGGACAGCAGCCUGACUGCUAACCUUUACAGCUGUCUCAGAAAACAUUCUUUAUUACCCAGGAUGUUAGCUGUAGAUCCAGGACUUUGAGGUGUUGAGUGCUCAAACACUGUCAAAUGCAACCACUAUAUAGCCCUGGAACAAGACUGCAAGAGAUUGUUUCUGCAGAUUCUUGUCCCACAGCUUCUAUUAAUUAUUAAACUGUUGGCCAAUGGCUAGGGCUUCUUACUGGCUAGAUCUCUCAAUUAUUAGCCAAUAACUACUAUUCUAUGUAUUUCUACAUGUUCUUAUCUUACUGGAGGAUGCCUGGUGCAUCCUAUCUUCCAGGUCUCUACAUGGCAUUCUUUGCAGUCUCUCCUGCCUACCUUUCCCAGAAUUCUCAUCUUCUAGUCCCAACUAUCUUCCUGCCUCUAUUGGCCAAGCAGUCAACCAAUAAGAGAAACAUAUAUACAGAAAGACAUCCCCCAUCAGUUGUUCACAUGGUGGAGGCUAGGAGACACUCAGCUAGGAUCUCAGUUCCAGGACUGGAUUUUCAGAAUGUGACACAAUUGUAUUUAUUAUGUUCUAGGAACCCUGCAAAACACUGGAUAAUGGAGGGAUUUUUUGACUGUGUUUGCCAUUUUUAUUAAGAACCUAUUCUGACAAGAGAACUGUAAGUAAUAACCACAAGGAUCAUGGCAAGUAUUGUAAGAAAAACACCGCAUAGAAAAGAGUUUACUCAAAGAUUUGUUUUGUUUGCUUGCCACUGUCAGAUAUAGGAUAGAAUAGUACUACAAACUUAUUAGGAACCAUGCAAAUACAAUAUUCUCCUAGACCGUAGAAACUAUAUAAAAUAUUUGGAUAAGGUACAGAGUCUUUAAACUCAUUGAGUUGUAUAGUCCCAUGCCUGGGAUGGCAUAAUCAACCUGUGAGAGUCAAUAAGUUGAAGUGGGACAAUUAAGUGACCAUAUAAACCUCAAAGCUAAGAAGGGUCAAUAUAAAAUAAACCCAGGAUCUUCACUUCCAAGUCUAGGGUUCUUUUCGAGAUAAAAUAUGCUUUCUUUGUAAUGAAAAUUCCUCAAUUUGCUAUAACCCAACUAUGUAAGUAAUUUCAUUAAAUGUAAAUUGUAAUUUGUAUUAGGUUGACGUUUCAAGAGUUGAAAGAAGCUUGCCUUUCUCUCCCAGCAGCCCAGUGCAUGCAGCACAGUCUCCACUAAUGUCAGUGACUAAUGGGCAAGGACAGAGAAUAUGGCUCAGUAGAACAGCACUUGCCUUGUAAGUGUGAAAUCCUGGGCUCAAUUCCCAGUACCACCAGUGGUGGGGAUUGGAGGGGUGGGGGUAAUAAUGAAAUAAAUAUAUGAUCAGAGAAUGCAAAGGAAAUGAGAACUUGUCAAAGAUGUGUGUUUAGUUUUCUGAUCAUUUUAUGUUUGCCAUACGCAUUAUGUAUUUGACCAAAGAAAUAAGAAUUGACAUCAAGUCAAUAAUUGCUCUCACACACUCAGUACAUUAUGCAUCCCCUGAACUAAUGCGUGAACUAAGGGACAGUUGUAUCUAAGCCCAAAGUAAGCAGUUGGUAUGCAGAUGCUGCCACACUGUAGGUAGGGACUCAAUCAAUGAAAUCCCCCUGCUUUGCAAAAAUCCACUACAUUGAGAAAAAUGCAUACGGACUAAGAAGAACAACACACCUGUGUCAACAUCAGGGACAACUCCUGCCCAUACACAUCCAUUCAUCAAUUCUGGAAAUGUGGAGUCCCCAGGCUAGACCAGGUGCUUCACCUCCCUGGAUGUGUAGGUCCUUUUGUGCAGACAACAGUAGUGAUGCAUAUUAAAGAGUUCUCCUACGUGAGCUCAGCCCUCUCUCAAGUUUACAUAGAGAUCCUAAUUCUCAACGUGUGACUAUUUGCAGACACAGUCUUUACAGAGGUAAUAAAUGCAAAACAGUGUAAUUGGUUUGGGUUGUGAUGCAAUAAGACUGGUGUCCUUGUAUAAAGAGGAGUCUAGGACACAGAUGCACACAAAGAGAAGCCAACAUGGAGGUCACAAAAGGAUGGCCAUUUCUAAGCCAAGGAAUGAUGUCUGAAAGAGACUGUCCUUCGCGGCCCCCUUGAUCCUCCAGACCCCUUGAUCUCACACAUCUGGCCUCCAGAAAACUGAGAAAAUGUUUCUUCUGUUGUCUGAUCCACUCAACAAUGGUGCUUCAGAAUUCUGGUGAAUGAACACAGGUCCCUCACAAACACCAAGCCUGAAAAGAGCAUAGACUUCCACCCUUAGGAAUCCACGUGCUGUGGUUUGCAUCUGAAAUGUCACCAAAGGCUCAUAUUUAAAGAUUGAUCUUCUUUUAGAAAUCAGUAUCCAGAGGUGUUGAUCUAUCAUGUGAGACCACAAGCUUUAUCAGCAGUUAUCUACCACAUGGAUAGAUGGGCUAUGAGGAGGGGGAACCUGGGAGAAGUAGGUCCCUGGGGUAUGCCUUUGCAAUGAUUAUGUGUUGUUAUAUUUUCCCAUCUCCCUCUUCCUCCUCCUUCCUCCCUCUCUUCCCCCUUCCUCUCCCCUUCCUCUUCUCUUCCUCCCCCUCUCUCUUUCCUGGUUUUGAUAUGUGCAGCUUUCUUCUGCCAGCCUUCUCUUUAUGUUGCCCCACCUCAUACAGACUCACAACAGUGGAACCAGUGACCAUGCAUGGAAACUUCUGGAAGCAUGAGCCUGAAUGAAUCUUUGGCCCCAUAAGUUGUGUGUCUCAGGCAUUUUGUCACAGUCACAAAAGACUGACUAACAUCUAUGAUCUGCCUUUUAAAUGUCACUGGUCCCACUUCCUCUUAUUGCUCAUCUUCAUCUUCUCACCAACACACGGAGAGCCUGGAAGUUUCAUGCUAACUUCAUAUCCUCAGCUGUGCCAAGGCAUUGAUGAGGUUCCAAGAGUCACCACCGCCCCAUUACAGCCUUCAGCCAACUAUAGGGGGGAAGGAGUCAAAUGGUAAACACAUAAGUGGGUGGCACCUGACAAUUUGUCAUGAAGGUUCCUUGCUGUGUGUCCCCACUCUGUCUGUGAGGAGGUUCAGUGUCCCUUCCUUGAUAUCAAGCAGCCUCCCAGAGUCUGGUUCUACCUCUCUGUAUCCUGUCUACUCUCCCUGGGCCAGCAGUCUAGCCUAUAGUCAUCACGAAUCUCUGCAAUUAUGCAAAGCUCUGUCCCCUCUCACUUCCCUAACUGGAAGCCAUUAUGCUUCUGUGCAAACACACCUGGCCUAGAAACCUCUCAGUCCAUGGCCAAAGUUAGUGUCAGUGCAGUUGCCUCUAGGGAGAUUCCUCUCACCAAAUCAGGAGUUCUUCCUCUCUGCACCCAAGGUCUUGGGCUUCCCUCUGAUUUGCUGGCCCCUGCUUAGGUGUCCUUGCCCCUCACCAUGCAAAGACAGAGCCCACAUAUUUUGUCAGCACUGAAGAAGAAUGACAGUUAAAGAAAUUGCACCCCUCUCACCCCCAGAAAUGCACAUCAUAUCUUUAGGCAGAGAACAACACAAGCCAAUGGAAAGAAAUGGAUUCACUGAUGCAGCUAGCACCAAAGAAGGCUAAACACCAGCAAAAGUGGAGCCGGAAUCUUUCCAUGCAAGCAUUCUACCGUUGAGCCCCGCCCCAGGCCUCCAUGAACUUAGUCUUGCCUUAUACUUUGGAGUGAUGUUAUUGGCUCCCUGGGUAGUUGAAGGACAGAUAUUUCUAAAAGAAAACAUAAAAGUGAAUACAAAAAUGAAUCUUUCAUUGAUCUUUAAAAAAAAAUGACACCCAAAGCAUUAAAACAAUGGGAUAGAAAACAGGACAACUUUUGGUCUUGGUCACUUUGAAUGAUGUAACAAAUAAUAACCCAAGAAAGCAUGGUGAUACAAAGUCAAUAUUCCUAAUAUAUAAGUAGAACUUAUCCUUUAAAAAUAAAACAAUCAAUUUUCUAAAUGUGAAAAUGACUACACCAAAUGGACAUAAUAGGCAGGACAUUUUGUAAGAAGGCAAAGCUCACUGACAAAACAAGGGACUGUGUUUUAUCUGCCAUGACAGCUUUUGAUGACAGAAGCAAAUGAGGAGGAGGAGACUUAGUUUUCCUUUCAAGAGAAAAACCCAGGGAAUGAAUACCAAGAAUCUCCACAAAGACCAAGAACUCGGAUAUAAUCCCAACUAGACAGCGAUUCUAAUUUCACUAUAGACGGAAGCACUGUCUGGGUAUCCGUCAGUGCAAACCAGGACACUGCUCAGGAUAUCUGCCACUCAGCUCCUCACACAGAAGAGUUCAGGGACUGUAACCCACUUGGUAUAAAUUGAGUGCCAAAACACGUGUAGCCUCACUUAGCACGCAGCAUCACAGCAUAUAGUGGGCACUUACUGUGCAAUUCUUCCCAUGGCUGAGGCUCCUCAAAGAUUCAAACAGCAACUGCUCGAUGCUGAGUGACAUCAAGCUUUCUGGCAAAGGCCCCUGCUCUGUAUGGGACACCUGAAUUGCCCAGCAACUACGUUAGUGUAUCUUUCACUCAAACGCCAACUAUAGAUAGUCAGGGCAUUUGAAAGUGUGCUUGCACAAAUCUCUUGUUAAGACCAUUUACAAAAGAGGUGGGAAGCUGAGGGAGGGUACUUGUAUCAAGGCCAUUUGUGAUCUCAGUUAAAAAAAUGGCAGAUGAUGUAUGCUGAAGGAUGAGGAGUGUGGACAGGGCUGAUGCUCAGUUGGUGGAGUACAAGCAUUCAGAGAGCUCUGGUCUUCUUGCAAGCGCUGCAGAGACAGGUGAGGAACAGCAUGCCUGUAAUGCCAGCAAGGAGGAAAUGGAGGUAGGUGAAUCAGAUACUCAAGGCUAUACCCUGUCACAGAAAGAAAGUGUCUGAGACCAGUGUGAAUGACAUGAGACUAUGCUCAACCCCCAGAACGAGUAAGAAAUGUAGAUAAAAGACCUAGCAUACAUGUGUAUGUUCAGACACAUGUUUUAUAUGUGCAUAUACUAUAUUAGAAAUAUGAAAAGGGGGAGGGGGAGGGAGAGAGAACUAAUGUUUUCAAAAUACUUUAAAAACAACAGAAUAUUGACUCAAAACGUGUGGGCAGAGAAGCAUGGUGACUUUAAGGGCCCAGUCCAUUUACAAGGUGAUUCAAAAGAAAUUUCAUCUGAACCAAAGACUAGUGAAUAAAAUGCCCAAUUUUUAGCCGAGAGAGCAUGCUUUGGUCAGACAAGUAUUUAUAUUAGUGUCUUUUAACUUUCUCCCCUCACUUUCCUGUGUGAGUAAUUUCUAGAUAAUCAAUUAGGAGGAAGGGAAUUCUUUUCCGUGAACGGACUUCAACAUGAUCACAGCAGACCACCCAACCUCAUAUCCCCACUACUGUGGCCCAAGUUGCCCAGUGGGUAGAACGGUGCAUACAACUUGGCUUCCUUCCUCCCCUCCAACCUGGUCUGGGGUGCACUGCUCUUCUCAGCUUCUUCCUGGAUCUCUCUCCAAACUGAUCUCCUUUCUGCUCAGUCCUGAGUCAGGUGAGUACCUUCUGUCCCCAACACGGAGGCCACAGAGCAGAAGUUGGAGGCAAAUGCACCCAGCCCAGAGGCAAACGUGCCUUGCUCCAGCUUUGGCCCGCGAUAAACACACGCUCCGACGUUGCUCCUUUGUAGAUUCUGAACAAGUCUCAUGAGCCAGUAUCUCACAAACAUCUGCCUUCAUUAUAAUUAUAUUUCUAUUUCAGCCGCACCAAGCUAUUUACAGAGGAGCCCUGUUCAUAAAGAGCUUUAUAAUUAAGCAAACAGAAAUAUCUUUUUAUAGGAUGCAGAUCUAGGGGUGAUAAUCACACACAAAACACACAGCAACAGUUGCAAAUAGAGUGUUUAACGCUAGUUAUAUAGUUAGUGAUGUGCUCAAUAAAGCCUGGCAUGCCUUUGUUCCUAAAUACGAGAAAAUAUGGUCUUUGCUACGCUGCAGUGUAAACUGUCUUCUCGUGUUUUUUCCCCCUAAGCAAAGGCCAUAUUAUUCAGGAUAAGUUCUUAAAAUGUGUAUGUGUGUAUGUGUACGUGUGUGUUUUAUAUGACAAUGUGACAGCAUACAUUCUCUGACUUACUAGCAUUUGAAAUCUGCCUGGAAUCUGGAGAAGGGAGAGAGCGAGCAAGUGAGUAGAUUCUAAAUAUAAGCAAGGGAUGUAUGGACGCACAGAACGUGACAGAUCAAAUUAGCAGAGCGGGAUCGGCGCGGUGGUAUUCUGCAAGUAGCUGCUAGACAAAGGGAAAUGGAAAACACUAGUGGCGAUGUCAGAAGAAUUCCACAUGCUCCAACCAAACUCCAUCAGAGCAAUCAGCCAUUUGCCAGGACUGUCAGCCUUAACUCACGAACAUCUCAAUCUCUCUGACCAACCCUCCCCUUGACCAUGGCACUCUGAGGCUUCUAUUUGGUGGCAACGCUUGUUUUGUCAUUUUGCAGACCGGCUUUGGCCAUUCAGAAGUUAUGUGAUCCCGGAGUUCCGAUGAAAAACAGCCACUGUGUGGCUUUCUCUGUGAAAAUCUGCCUGCCUUUGCUUCUGGAGUGCUGCGAUUAAAGCCUUGGUUUUGGCCGCUAUGCAAAUGAGGAAGUUGCUCUUAAAAGGAUUGUCUCUCAAUGCCUGGGAAGCAGAGCUCACCCAAGAAGAUGCUGCUACCAAGAAGCUGUGCUUGCCUCUUGUUUGUUUUUUGUUUUUGUUUUGUUUCUAAAAUCCCUUAUUAAGUUUUUGUGAAGUUUUUAUGUGCAAGUAUUUAGUAUCCAACAUUGCCAGCGCCAUAAUGUUGUGGGAUUCCCUCCUGGGCCCUGUACUGCUUCGGAGCCCCCAAAUAAACACACAAGACUUAUGUUAGUUACAA